CNUUCUGUGCCGGAGUUAACGCAAUAAGUACCCCGCCUGGGGAGUACGACCGCAAGGUUGAAACUCAAAGGGAUUGACGGGGGCCCGCACAAGCGGUGGAGUAUGUGGUUUAAUUCGACGCGACGCGAAGAACCUUACCAGGUCUUGACAUUGAUGGACAGAACCAGAGAUGGUUCCUCUUCUUCGGAAGCCAGAAAACAGGUGGUGCACGGUUGUCGUCAGCUCGUGUCGUGAGAUGUUGGGUUAAGUCCCGCAACGAGCGCAACCCCUAUCUUAUGUUGCCAGCACUUUGGGUGGGGACUCAUGAGAGACUGCCGCAGACAAUGCGGAGGAAGGCGGGGAUGACGUCAAAUCAUCAUGCCCCUUAUGACCUGGGCUACACACGUACUACAAUGGGAGUUAAUAGACGGAAGCGAGAUCGCGAGAUGGAGCAAACCCGAGAAACACUCUCUCAGUUCGGAUCGUAGGCUGCAACUCGCCUACGUGAAGUCGGAAU
rnacentral:rRNA from 1 species